rnacentral:misc_RNA from 1 species
UCUCCGUUGGUGAACCAGCGGAGGGAUCAUUACAGGACUCACAAGACUCCUUCACCCUGUGAACCUCACUACAAGCACGUUGCUUCGGCGGGUGUCCCGGCGGGGGGUGUCCCGCGCCGGGGCGCACAGCCCGCCGGCAGCCUACUAUAUUCUGUCUCUUUGCGUUGGCAUCUCAAGAAAAAACAAACAAGUUAAAACUUUUAACAACGGAUCUCUUGGUUCUG